CCUACGGGCGGCAGCAGUCGAGAAUCAUUCACAAUGGGGGAAACCCUGAUGGUGCGACGCCGCGUGAGUGAAGAAGUAUUUCGGUACGUACAGCUCUAUCAGCAGGGAAGAAAAUGACGGUACCUGACUAAGAAGCCCCGGCUAACUACGUGCCAGCAGCCGCGGUAAUACGUAGGGGGCAAGCGUUAUCCGGAUUUACUGGGUGUAAAGGGAGCGUAGACGGCAGCGCAAGUCUGGAGUGAAAUCCCAUGGCUUAACCAUGGAACUGCUUUGGAAACUGUGCAGCUAGAGUGCAGGAGAGGUAAGCGGAAUUCCUAGUGUAGCGGUGAAAUGCGUAGAUAUUAGGAGGAACACCAGUGGCGAAGGCGGCUUACUGGACUGUAACUGACGUUGAGGCUCGAAAGCGUGGGGAGCAAACAGGAUUAGAUACCCCUGUAGUC
rnacentral:rRNA from 1 species